AAAUCAUGGUGUGGGCAUAUCCUUAAAAGCUCCCCAAAUUGCUCCCACACCUCAAAUAGUGAUUCUGCUUUGUUUUGCUAGAAGCAACUUAUCUCCGUCAUUAGUUU